GUGAGUCAUUUGCUAGUCUUAUUUUAUAAGUAAUAUUUUCUACAUCUUACUCAGAGGCAGAUGGGAAAGUUCAAGGAAACACCCUCUUGGAAAGAGGAAAAGUACUCUGGUCUGGGUUUGCAUGUUGGUGCCUUUCCUGGAGUCCCUGAUAUAAGCAGAGGAAAUAAACAGAUGGUGAAUGGGUCUAGCAGAGCCACAUUUAGAGUGGGUUUUCUUUGUUUUAGAGGCUGUUAUUCUGCUCUUACUGUGGACUCUGUGUACUCCUGAGAAUGCAAAAAAAAAAAAAAAAAAAAUUAAAUAAACUGGAAGCUCUUUCCUGACAUUCAUAAUACAGGUCAGCAGAUCAAAAGGUACUUGGCCAGUUGGGAACUCUCUCAUACACACACACAUACACACGUGCUAAGGGUUAUUUCGUAUUGUCUUUGUGAGAGGAAACGGGGGAGGAGAGGGGGACUCUAGUGCCUCUGAAGCCGAGAGGCAGCGCUCCAGAAACCCACGUGGUGAACAGCAUGUGCUGGGAAAUGCCAGCCUGUGUCGCUCUCAACUUGGCGUAUAGACUCAACUCCUGUUUGACAAAAUUUAUGGAGCAGACAGCGAAUAGUAGGGGUGUUUUCCCUAGACAAGCAGUAAUGGUCUGUAUCCUUGGAAACACCUAGUGCCUGCGUGCUCAGUCACUCAGUCAUAUCCGACUCUUUGUGACCACAUGGACCAUAGCUCUCCAGGCUUUUCUGUCCAUGGGAUUCCCCAGGCAAGCAUACUGGAGUAUCCAUUCCCUUCUCCAGGGGAGCUUCCUGAACCAGGAAUCAAACCCGGAUCUCCUGCAAGAUAUGUAUAUAAAAAUAUAUGCACUGCAUCUUAUCUGAGUAUUGUUUGUAGUAAUUAAAAAUCAAGUUUAAUGAAUAAAGAAGUAGUUUAAUGACUUAUGGUGUUUCCUUAUUAAAAUAAAGAGAAUGAGGAAUUAAAAGAUAUGAGGUAUUACUCAACUAUAAAGAAGGAAUGAAAUUGUGUCAUUUGCAGAGACAUGGAAUGGACCUAGAGACUCAUACAGAGCGAAGUAAGUCAGAAAGAGAAAAACAAAUAUUGUAUAUUAACACAUAUAUAUGGAAUCUGGAAAACUGGCACAGAUCAUCUUACUUGCAAAGCAAAAAUAUAGACACAGGUGUAAAGAACAAACAUAUGGACACCAAGGGGGAAGGGAGGCUGGGUGGGAUGAAUUGGAAGGUUGG
ensembl:lncRNA